UCUCACAACGAACGACAAAGUGCGAUACUUAAACAUCCAUCGAUUUAACGACGAACGACAAAGUACGAUACUUAAACAUCCAUCGAAUUAACGACGAACGACAAAGUAUAACCCUAAUGUGGGUGGCACUUAAACAUCCAUUGGAUAUAUUGAUCGGUCGGAAAAUGAAUCGUAAUAGCGAUCGAGUUAAUACUUUGUAUCGUAGCAGCACCCCCCUCUACUAAUUAUUGAUUUUGUGUGUGUUGUGAAGUGAACAACAAAUAACUCGACGUAGGAAAUGAAUUUGAACGUCGUUCUAUUGCCCAAUUUCCAGUCCCAAAGUCUGCUAUUUAUACACGAAUUUGGACAUGCUUACGGACCGUAAGCAUUAUCCCUUACGGUCCGUAAGGGACACCUAAUUACUAUAGGCUUGCCGCGUGUGGGACUAGCCUUGAUGAGUCGAUGGAAUCUCGAAAUUCAAUUUAGACAGCUUUUUAUUUGGAUAAUCGGAUUGUGUAGAAUUACUUGGGGGUCUCAACUAAGGUUUCCUAUUGGGUAAAAAUAAUAGAUAUGACUUUUGAUAAAAUAAAAUAAUAAUAGUUUUGGGUAAAUCACAAAAAGGAAAUAAAACGAUGAGAAAAGAGAAUGGACCCACUUUGUAACUUUAGGAUUCAACUAGAAAACCUACUGGUAGAAUUUUGGGUAUAACUUCUGAGCUAUUUUAAAAAUAUAUACAUAUAUAUUUGUACUUGUGUUAAGUAUAGUACCCCUAAUUCAACCUU
rnacentral:lncRNA from 1 species